UACGAAGGGGGGCUAGCGUUGCUCGGAAUCACUGGGCGUAAAGCGCACGUAGGCGGCUUUUUAAGUCAGGGGUGAAAUCCUGGAGCUCAACUCCAGAACUGCCUUUGAUACUGAAAGUCUUGAGUAUGGGAGAGGUGAGUGGAACUGCGAGUGUAGAGGUGAAAUUCGUAGAUAUUCGCAAGAACACCAGUGGCGAAGGCGGCUCACUGGCCCAUUACUGACGCUGAGGCACGAAAGCGUGGGGAGCAAACAGG
rnacentral:rRNA from 1 species